UAUGUACUCCCUCUGUCCCAUAUUAAGUGUCGAAAUAUUACAUGUAUCUAGACGUAUUUUAGUAUACAGAUACAUCCAUUUUUAGACAAAUUUGAGUCACUUAAUAUGGGACGGAGGGAGUAAUUA
rfam:Brachypodium distachyon strain Bd21 chromosome 3, whole genome shotgun sequence.